UGAGAUCGAAAACAAGCGGCUGACGGAGGAGCUUGAGGCAAGGCAGCAGCAAGCGGAUAAACAUUCCAGGCUGGAAGAGAUGACGCAGCUGCAGGAAUCCCUGGAGA
rnacentral:lncRNA from 1 species